AUAUAGCACAUGGGCUAAAUGUGUGAUGCUCUUAUUGUGUGUGUGUGUGUGUGUGUGUGUGUGUGUUUGAGCUUAAAUGAUAUGCUUCCUAAAAAUUGUAAAUGGCAAAGAGUAAUUUGUGUUUAAAUUGUGAGAAUUUCUCCUGUGUUUCACAGAAGAUAGAGAGUCAUACAGGUUUGGAAUGACACAAGAGUUAGUAAAUGAUGACAGAAUCUUGACUUUUGGAUGAACUAUCCCUUUAAAUGCUUUCUAAAUGCCACUAACGUCAUGCUUAUUUUUGUUCUUUUUUAAUAUCCUCCCUCUUUUUUAAUCAAACCCAGAUUUGAGAGUAUAGGCUCAUCACUUGUGACUAUUAAAAUGUUGAUUUGGCUUUUGCUCGGCAUGAUGCAGAUAUGACUGUGUGAUGAUGUUUUUCCAGCAAAACAAUAACAGCAAUAUGACCAGCCAGGCUAACUGCGCUGAUCUAAUCAGUCUCACGAUCUGUUUUCUUCCGGUACUGUCGUUCAGAAGCGGACUCGGUUUACUCAAAUAAGCUCCAAAACACCUCAGAUCAGAUAUUAAUCACUCAACAUGUUCAAACAGAAGGAGGAAGAGAAGGAGGGAGGAAGACAGAGAGAGAUAAAGAAAUGUCUUCUCCUGAGGAACCCAUGCAAAUCAACUCGUCCCGACUAUCUGAAAGUGAGAGAGAACGACGACGAUAUCAACCACUGUGCUUCUAUUGUGGUGAAUCAGGCCACCGCUGUAUAGGAUGCCCCCGCAAGCUUCAAACAAAUCCCUGGUGAUGAUUGACUCUGGAGCUGCCCUGAAUCUCAUCUACCAGGACAUUAUGACCGAAUAUCAGAUCCCUACACAAAUGUGCAUGCCACCUAUCCAAAUCAAGGCUAUCGAUGGGGAAUUGGUUGGAAAGGGUAUCACCCACCAGACUAAGACACUCACUUUCCAAGUUGGGACCCUUCAUAAGGAAUUAAUCUCCUUCUACAUCAUCGACUCUCCCAAACACAAACUUGUCUAAGGUUAUCCAUGGCUCUCUACUCACGACCCUGAACUCUCAUGGCAUCAAGGUGAAUUAACACACUGAUCAUCUUUCUGUAUGAGUCACUGUAUCACUGCAAGACCCCAAUCUCGCAACCAGUGUGGAAAGCCCUGAGACACACACAAAAGUGAAUAUUCCCCAGUAUUAUCAAGAUCUCUCUGAGGUAUUCAGCAAGGUGAAAGCCACACAACUUCCUCCACAUAGACCUUGGGACUGUGCCAUCGAUCUCUUGUCUAACACACAACCCCCAAAGAGUAAAGUAUAUCCACUUACCAGAAACGAAAGUCAAGCCAUGGAGGAGUAUGUGGAUGUAGCCUUGAAAUCCUGUUUUAUUCGACCAUCAACCUCCCCAGCAGCUGCAGGAUUCUUCUUCAUGGAGAAAAAAGAUGGUGGACUAAGGCCUUGUAUUGAUUAUAGAGGACUGAAUAACAUUACCGACAAGUUCCGCUAUCCCCUCCUGUUAGCACCAUCAUCACCAGAACAACUCAGAGAAGCCAAGAUCUAUACCAAACUCGAUCUCCGAAGUGCAUAUAAUCUUAUUAGGAUCAAAGAAGGGGAUGAAUGGAAAACAGCUUUUCUCACCACUAGGGGGCACUAUGAAUAUCAGGUAAUGCCGUAUGGACUUGCAAACUCUCCCACUGUAUUCCAAUCAUUCAUAAACGAGAUCUUCAAGGACCUGCUAAAUAAAUUUGUGGUUGCAUACAUCGAUGAUAUCCUCGUCUUUUCCAAGACCAAACAUGAACACAUUUCCUAUGUCAGGACAGUCCUUACUUGACUCUUAAAGAACGAAUUAUAUGUAAAAAAUGUGAGUUCCAUGUUACUCAAACUUCCUUCCUGGGUUACCACAUCAGCUCACAGGGCAUCAAGAUGAAUGACCUCAAAGUUCAGGCAGUCAUUGACUGGCCACAACCAAGAACCAUCAAGGAUCUGCAGAGAUUUCUGGGCUUUGCCAAUUUCUACAGAAGGUUUAUCCGGAAUUAUAGUAUGGUUGCCUCUCCUCUCACCUCACUCCUCAAGAAUAAACCAUCAAAACUAGUUUGGUCUUCGGAAGCUAACACCACCUUCAAUGCAUUGAAGGAACGAUUUACAACAGCCCCUAUCCUGAAACAUCCCAAUCCGAAAGAACCAUUCAUUCUCGAGGUGGAUGCCUCAGACUGUGGCAUUGGUGCUAUACUCUCUCAGAGACAAGGGCAACCAAGUAAAUUGUAUCCAUGUGCUUUCUUUUCCAGAAAACGUACCUCCGCUGAAUGCAACUACGAUGUUGAAAAUAAGGAACUACUUUCCAUGAAAGCAGCUAUUGAAGAAUGGCGUCACUGGCUUGAUGGAGCUCUUCAUCCCUUUCAGGUGAUAACAGACCAGAAGAAUCUCGAAUAUAUAAAGAGUGCCAAACGUCUAAACCCCCGGCAAGCCCACUGGGCACUAUUCUUCACACACUUCAAUUUUACAGUUACCUAUAUGACCUCUCCACAGAGCAUCACAUCUCCGGUCCCAUCCUACCCAGCUCUAUCAUCCUAGCCCCAGUCUCCUGGGAUAUCAUGGAAGAACUAAGAAAAGCACAACAACAAGACCCUUCACAUGCCCCCCUUCACAUAACAUGGCACGAGACAUCACUAACUAUGUCUAGUCCUGUCAGAUCUGUGCUCAGUCAAAAACCCCAAAGGAAUUACCUUCAGGUCUACUCAAGCCAUUGCCUAUUCCUCAACCAUGGUCUUACCUGUCUAUCGACUUCACUGACCUCCCAUCAUCCUAUAACAACACUACAAUCCUGGUUAUCAUUGACCAUUUCUCCAAGUCUUGCCAUCUCAUUACACUACCCAAACUACCCACUGCCAUGGAAACCACUCAAACUCUCUUCCAACACGUCUACUGGAUAUAUGGACUACCAGAGGACAUAGUCAGUGUCCGCGGGAACCCAAUUCACGUCUCAGGUCUGGAGGGCAUUCUGCAAUCAGUUGGACAUUAACGUCAGUUUAACGUCAGGCUAUCACCCACAAGUCAACGGACAAGUCGAAUGACUCAACCAGGAAAUAGGAAGAUAUCUCUGACGCUACUGCAGCCAGGAACAGCACAGAUGGUCUGACUCACUCCUCUACAGGUCUAACCCCCUUCCAGUGAGUCCUAGGAUUCCAACCACCUCUGUUCCCGUGGUCUGCCAAACCCUCCUCGGUUUCUGCAGUAGAUGACUGGAUUCAACGUAGUGAGAGGGUGUGGGACAGUGCUCAUGUUCAUCUCCAGCGAGCUGUGAGAACACAGGAAAUCCAGGCCAACCGACGACGUCGCCCACACCCACCCUACUAAUCAGGACAACGUGUCUGGCUCUCCAUGAAAGACAUCAAGUUGCGGCUACCAAGCAGGAAGCUCAGUCCCAGCCGUCCACCCGGGAGCUGACCCUGGCCGUGAAGCCCCAGAACCACCACUACCACUGGACCUUGAUGGAACUCCGGCAUAUAGGGUGAAUUUGUUACUGGACUCGAGAUGAAGAGGGGGUCAGCUCCAGUAUCUGGUGGACUGGGAGGGCUAUGGACCCGAGGAGAGGUCAUGGGUAGCCGCCCGGGACAUUCUGGUUCCAUCACCCUUCGAAGAGUUUCAUCUAGCCAGACCCGACCGCCCAGCACCAAGACCACGGGGACGUCCACAUCAAGCUCCAGGAAUUGCUCCUAGAGGAGGGGGUUCUGUAACGCCAAACCAGCAGAGGGAGCCCUCGCCUGAGUACUGACCAUGCUACACUUCCUCUGCUUCCUCAACUUCCACUUCCUGUUUGACCGCCAUAUAAACUCAGACCUGUUCAUGUGCUCUUCACCAAGUAUUGCCAGUUCAUCUGCCUUACCAAGCGUUAUUCCUCUACUGUUCCUGAUUGCUUACCUGUGUAUGAUCCUGUCUGACUUCUUGACUCAUGGUAUUUGUACUCUGCCCUUUUGUUCUGACGCCUGAUUGAACUGAUGUUUGGGUUUGGACUCAUUGCCUACCUCUCCACCAUUGUCUCUGCCAUUGCCCCUGUGUAUGACGAACGAUCGGCUUGCUUCUCUGUUUUUGUUUACCCCCUGCCUGUUUAUCGAUAUCUGUUUAAAGCCUUGACCUUUAAUAAACUUCUGCACAUGGAUUCUAACCAAA